AGCCCAUCUCUCCUCCUUCAUUACUCUCACCACCCAUUCCUCUGCUUCAACAACAACCAGGAACCCUCAGGACAAAAAAAGUUUUCCAAUUUCAGAACCUGGUUUUGCUACUUUGACAAGGAACAACUGAAGUAAACUAGUUUAGCAGGAUUUUAUACAGUGGAGAAAGAGGAAAGAGAAAACAAAACUAAAUCAACAGAGCAUCAAAUCUAAUGUAGCAGAAGCAAGUCACAGGUUCUUUUAGGAAAGAGAGAGAGAGAGAGAAGCCUAGGAUAAAUGCUUAUUCGUACUCAAGUCAAGCGAAGAAAAAUAAUUAAAGAGAACAAAUAGACUUAUCAUAGACAAAGAAAGCUGAGAACUUUCAGAGCAUAAAGUGGUAACAAGCAAUGGAUUUAGCUAAGUUACAGCUCACAAGAGAAAAAUAAAAAGGAAAAGAGAGAAAAAAAAAAGUAGAUUCGCUUUUAAGAGUGUGAGAGAGCAAAGUCACUAUCUCAUAAACCAAUCUCUUCAGUUUUUCAAGAAACAAAAAAAAAAAGAUUAGACCUUUCACAUAUGAAUGUGUGUGUGAGAUCAGAGAAGCAAGAAUUUUUGGGAAUUAAGGUAAUGGAGACAAGCCCUGUUAGAGAUACUCCAAGAUUGUGGUUGCUUUGGAAAGAGAGAGUACAAAAGAAGAAGAAUCAAAUUCUUGGGUGGGGAGUUUACAAUCACUGUUAAACCUAAAUCAGAUAAAUGAGGGAAGAG